UUAAGCGACUAAGCGUACACGGUGGAUGCCCUGGCAGUCAGAGGCGAUGAAGGACGUGCUAAUCUGCGAUAAGCGUCGGUAAGGUGAUAUGAACCGUUAUAACCGGCGAUUUCCGAAUGGGGAAACCCAGUGUGUUUCGACACACUAUCAUUAACUGAAUCCAUAGGUUAAUGAGGCGAACCGGGGGAACUGAAACAUCUAAGUACCCCGAGGAAAAGAAAUCAACCGAGAUUCCCCCAGUAGCGGCGAGCGAACGGGGAGCAGCCCAGAGCCUGAAUCAGUGUGUGUGUUAGUGGAAGCGUCUGGAAAGGCGCGCGAUACAGGGUGACAGCCCCGUACACAAAAAUGCACAUGCUGUGAGCUCGAUGAGUAGGGCGGGACACGUGGUAUCCUGUCUGAAUAUGGGGGGACCAUCCUCCAAGGCUAAAUACUCCUGACUGACCGAUAGUGAACCAGUACCGUGAGGGAAAGGCGAAAAGAACCCCGGCGAGGGGAGUGAAAAAGAACCUGAAACCGUGUACGUACAAGCAGUGGGAGCACGCUUAGGCGUGUGACUGCGUACCUUUUGUAUAAUGGGUCAGCGACUUAUAUUCUGUAGCAAGGUUAACCGAAUAGGGGAGCCGAAGGGAAACCGAGUCUUAACUGGGCGUUAAGUUGCAGGGUAUAGACCCGAAACCCGGUGAUCUAGCCAUGGGCAGGUUGAAGGUUGGGUAACACUAACUGGAGGACCGAACCGACUAAUGUUGAAAAAUUAGCGGAUGACUUGUGGCUGGGGGUGAAAGGCCAAUCAAACCGGGAGAUAGCUGGUUCUCCCCGAAAGCUAUUUAGGUAGCGCCUCGUGAAUUCAUCUCCGGGGGUAGAGCACUGUUUCGGCAAGGGGGUCAUCCCGACUUACCAACCCGAUGCAAACUGCGAAUACCGGAGAAUGUUAUCACGGGAGACACACGGCGGGUGCUAACGUCCGUCGUGAAGAGGGAAACAACCCAGACCGCCAGCUAAGGUCCCAAAGUCAUGGUUAAGUGGGAAACGAUGUGGGAAGGCCCAGACAGCCAGGAUGUUGGCUUAGAAGCAGCCAUCAUUUAAAGAAAGCGUAAUAGCUCACUGGUCGAGUCGGCCUGCGCGGAAGAUGUAACGGGGCUAAACCAUGCACCGAAGCUGCGGCAGCGACGCUGAUGCGUUGUUGGGUAGGGGAGCGUUCUGUAAGCCUGCGAAGGUGUGCUGUGAGGCAUGCUGGAGGUAUCAGAAGUGCGAAUGCUGACAUAAGUAACGAUAAAGCGGGUGAAAAGCCCGCUCGCCGGAAGACCAAGGGUUCCUGUCCAACGUUAAUCGGGGCAGGGUGAGUCGACCCCUAAGGCGAGGCCGAAAGGCGUAGUCGAUGGGAAACAGGUUAAUAUUCCUGUACUUGGUGUUACUGCGAAGGGGGGACGGAGAAGGCUAUGUUGGCCGGGCGACGGUUGUCCCGGUUUAAGCGUGUAGGCUGGUUUUCCAGGCAAAUCCGGAAAAUCAAGGCUGAGGCGUGAUGACGAGGCACUACGGUGCUGAAGCAACAAAUGCCCUGCUUCCAGGAAAAGCCUCUAAGCAUCAGGUAACAUCAAAUCGUACCCCAAACCGACACAGGUGGUCAGGUAGAGAAUACCAAGGCGCUUGAGAGAACUCGGGUGAAGGAACUAGGCAAAAUGGUGCCGUAACUUCGGGAGAAGGCACGCUGAUAUGUAGGUGAAGUCCCUCGCGGAUGGAGCUGAAAUCAGUCGAAGAUACCAGCUGGCUGCAACUGUUUAUUAAAAACACAGCACUGUGCAAACACGAAAGUGGACGUAUACGGUGUGACGCCUGCCCGGUGCCGGAAGGUUAAUUGAUGGGGUUAGCCGCAAGGCGAAGCUCUUGAUCGAAGCCCCGGUAAACGGCGGCCGUAACUAUAACGGUCCUAAGGUAGCGAAAUUCCUUGUCGGGUAAGUUCCGACCUGCACGAAUGGCGUAAUGAUGGCCAGGCUGUCUCCACCCGAGACUCAGUGAAAUUGAACUCGCUGUGAAGAUGCAGUGUACCCGCGGCAAGACGGAAAGACCCCGUGAACCUUUACUAUAGCUUGACACUGAACAUUGAGCCUUGAUGUGUAGGAUAGGUGGGAGGCUUAGAAGUGUGGACGCCAGUCUGCAUGGAGCCGACCUUGAAAUACCACCCUUUAAUGUUUGAUGUUCUAACGUUGACCCGUAAUCCGGGUUGCGGACAGUGUCUGGUGGGUAGUUUGACUGGGGCGGUCUCCUCCUAAAGAGUAACGGAGGAGCACGAAGGUUGGCUAAUCCUGGUCGGACAUCAGGAGGUUAGUGCAAUGGCAUAAGCCAGCUUGACUGCGAGCGUGACGGCGCGAGCAGGUGCGAAAGCAGGUCAUAGUGAUCCGGUGGUUCUGAAUGGAAGGGCCAUCGCUCAACGGAUAAAAGGUACUCCGGGGAUAACAGGCUGAUACCGCCCAAGAGUUCAUAUCGACGGCGGUGUUUGGCACCUCGAUGUCGGCUCAUCACAUCCUGGGGCUGAAGUAGGUCCCAAGGGUAUGGCUGUUCGCCAUUUAAAGUGGUACGCGAGCUGGGUUUAGAACGUCGUGAGACAGUUCGGUCCCUAUCUGCCGUGGGCGCUGGAGAACUGAGGGGGGCUGCUCCUAGUACGAGAGGACCGGAGUGGACGCAUCACUGGUGUUCGGGUUGUCAUGCCAAUGGCACUGCCCGGUAGCUAAAUGCGGAAGAGAUAAGUGCUGAAAGCAUCUAAGCACGAAACUUGCCCCGAGAUGAGUUCUCCCUGACUCCUUGAGAGUCCUGAAGGAACGUUGAAGACGACGACGUUGAUAGGCCGGGUGUGUAAGCGCAGCGAUGCGUUGAGCUAACCGGUACUAAUGAACCGUGAGGCUUAACCU
rnacentral:rRNA from 1 species